UGAGCCGGUACCAUUGACUCUCCGGUUGCCCGGGAGCCCCUCAGAAGCUGACAAUGCGAGGGGUCUCUGUUCCUUUUCUCUUCUAUUCUCGCCUAAGCUCCAGCUCUGCCUGACCCAGCGGCCAGCAGCCUGUCGGGUACAGCAGAAGCUCCCAAGUAGCUGAGAAGUUCGUGGAAUCUUCCUAUUGAUUUUCCCUUCCCCCAAUCAGAAACUUUUUGAAAAGCCUCUGAGGAGAGUCAGGACCCCUGAAAGGAGCACAUCGAGGCAGCAUCGCGUGGCAGUUUGGCGUGGGGACUCUGGGAGUCGGCAGGUGCCUGACACCCUGCGGUAAGUGCCUGGUCAGUUGUUACCAUCAGAAUCUCUGUCAUCCCCAGUUCUGACACCAAUUGCUCUGUUUCCUUGGACAAAUUAGUUCAUUUCUGUGGUCCCCCUGUUCCUCCCAUGCCAGCGGGGCCCUCGACAGUUAGUAACUCCAGCGAAGCCCGAAAACGCAACACAAGCAGUGCAAAGGCAAUGCCAGUGAUCAAAAUAACCCACCCCGCUUGCCAUGUAGAUGGAUAAUAUCAUUUCACUGGGGACUGCUCUCAGUAAGUGGGCUCUUUUUUCUCUGAAGAGCCUGGAAUCUGUUCCUCAGGGCUGCUAAAACUGGCCUUGUUCUGCGGUCUGAUCCGCUGGCCGACCUGUGUCUACAUUACUAAAACUGGCCGGGGGCCCUGGCACCGUCCCGCCACGUGGGCCGCCAAAUCGCAAGGCCCUUUCUUUUGAGCAAAUAGCAUCGCACACGUUGCCAUCAAGAAAACGAAAGCAUUCACAGUGGCACAGCGUCCAGCUUCUCUCUGUGGCCUUUUGAAACAGUUUUGUGACCAGGGAGUGGCAAGAAACAAAGGUCUUUCUAUCUGCUCUGCUCACCAGGCCGGCGUCAGAUCAUGCAGGAGCCUGCACCCCUCUUCCCCUGGUACCAUCGGAUUGUUAUCGCUGCGCUUGUCUCCUCUCUCUGAGUAGGACGAGGCAGGCAGGCAGGCAGAGGAAUAUAUUUCAACUGCCCUUGACUCUGUUUAUAAUCACAAACAUGAAAGGAAGGGAAAGAGAUUGAGUUUAUAGGACUGGCUCUUUGUGUAGCCUAAUUUAUCUCUCUCCAGCAGCAGUGGGCUGAGCAGGUUUCCUUUUUUGUUUCCGAUGCGGGAAGCUGAAAUAUGAAUCUAUGUU